GAUGAACGCUAGCGGCAGGCCUAACACAUGCAAGUCGAGGGGUAGAAGGAGCUUGCUCCUUUGAGACCGGCGCACGGGUGCGUAACGCGUAUGCAAUCUACCUUGUACAGAGGAAUAGCCCAGAGAAAUUUGGAUUAAUGCCUCAUAGUAUAAUUGAAUCGCAUGGUUUAAUUAUUAAAGUUUCGGCGGUACAAGAUGAGCAUGCGUCCCAUUAGUUAGUUGGUAAGGUAACGGCUUACCAAGACAAUGAUGGGUAGGGGUCCUGAGAGGGAGAUCCCCCACACUGGUACUGAGACACGGACCAGACUCCUACGGGAGGCAGCAGUGAGGAAUAUUGGGCAAUGGGCGGAAGCCUGACCCAGCCAUGCCGCGUGCAGGAAGACGGUCCUAUGGAUUGUAAACUGCUUUUAUACGGGAAGAAACACCCCCUCGUGAGGGGACUUGACGGUACCGUAAGAAUAAGGAUCGGCUAACUCCGUG
rnacentral:rRNA from 2 species